GAGUGAUAUGAUGGCAUACCAUCUUUCGGGACUGACUGAAAAAAAUGGAGAGUCCUUAAUUGUUUUACUGAUCACUC
rnacentral:snoRNA from 1 species